UCCUCACCCCAAGCCCUCUCGUCUUACCUAGACCCGGCAGAAAAAGGAAUAAAAGCUAGAGGUGGCCUCUUCUGCGGGUUUUCUGGGUCAAAGCGGAAGGGGUCAUAGACCUGCAAGCCAAGCAAGACGAAACUGGUCCUAGAGAUGAAGGGAGGAGCCUCACCUCAGGGUCCGGCCAGACUGAAGGAUUGUGAUGAACUCCGAAGAUGCUGAUGACACAUGUGCUGCCUUUUGGGGAGGAGUGGACAGUAAGUACCGAUCCGUGCUACCUCUAAGGACCACCAUCCUACCCAGGGGCCUCCUCCCAUCGUGUGUGGGCACCUUUGGGGAUGACUCGGCCAUCAGGCAGCACAAUGUCCUUAGUGCAGCGGCGGACCAGGUCUGUCGCAGGAGGAUGCAGCCGCAGACUCUCCUUGAUGCACAUGGUCAGGAAGGGCAGCCGGGCCAGGUCGUCCCUGAGGAGCACACCGCACGAUUAUCCAGGAGCAAAACCCAUCACCUUCUUCAGGCUUUUGAAAAAAUUGCACUCCAGAUAAAUUAAAGUCUCAAGCAAUGGAACUCCUGAUCCUUGGGAUGCCUCUGAUCUCUAAGGCCCUUGCCCAUGCACAGAGACUUCCGAAAGCACUGGAGGCUGUUGUUUAUGGGAGACAGCAAGACCCAACUACAAGGAUGUGCUUGAUCACAUGGAGGCAGGAGGUACUAGGCAGGAUAGAUGUUUGCCCCUCAUAGGACCUGAUGGGGAAUGUGAAUUGAGGGCUUUGCCUUUUAAACACCUGCAAACUGCGACUCAGGACCAUUUUGUGGAAACCCAAAGAUGGACAUAGCCACAGUCCACCAACCUGGCCAGUAUUUAGUUAAAGCUUGCUUCAGUUUUUGCUUUAACUUGUGGUAAUGGUCUCAUUCUCAGCCUGUAGGAUUAACCCCUCUAUCUUCCAAUUUCUGAAGUUUCAGAGAUCAGCCACCAAGAAUGGCUCUAGAUUGAAACUUAAGCCUUAAAAAUGAAAAUCACAAAAUUACCAGAAGAAAGCUUAACUUGGCAUUAGACAUAUUUAAAAGGAAACCACACCUCUCAAAAGAUCUCUUUAAAUGCUUCCAUACAUUCAAAAUGAAAAAGCUUUAAAAACUUAGUGACCUGAGUGAGGAGGCGUUCAGGCCUCAUGAGUGUAGGCAGGAGGAUCAGGAGUUAAGGCCACCUUAGGCUACAAGAAAUGCUGUGUCCUGGGCUGGUGAAACAGCUCAGAUGGUAAAGGGACCUACCAUCAAGCUUGAUUACAUGAAUUCAAUCCCCAGGACACAUAUGGUGGAAAAAAGAGAACUGACUGCAGCCUACUUGGUUCACACACACACACUGAACUUAAUUUAAAUUUGUAAAAGAAAAAAAAUCCAUGAAGUAUUCUGUGGUGGUUUGAAUGAGAAUGGCCCCCAUAGGUUCAUAUCUUUGUAUGCUUAGUCCCCAGUUGGUGAACUCUUUGGGAAGCAGUAGGAGACGUGGCCUUGGAGGGGGUGUGUCACUGGGGUGGGCUCUGAGGUUUCAAAAGUCCACAUCAAGCCCACUUUCAGUCUCUACGUCUCUCCAUCUGUUUGUCUCUCUCUCUGCCUGCCACCUAUAGAUCAGGAUGUAGCUCUCAGCUACUGCUCCAGCACCAUACCUGCCUGCCAACAUGCUUCCCACCAUAAUGACGGACUCACCCUCUGAGGCUGAACAUGACAGUCUUUCUUUCUCAGCGCUGGGCAUCACAGAGCCUGCACACUAGGCAAGUACCCACAACUGAAUUGUCUGUACCCAAGAACCUUAUUCUAAUUGAAAGAGUUAAAGUUUACAAAGAUAAGUCAACCUAAAAAUAAAAGAGGGAGCCAGGCAUGGUGGUGCAUACUUGGAAUCCCAGCACUCUGGAGCCGGAGGCAGGUGGAUUUCUGAACUGGAGAACAGUCUGUUCUACAUAAGUUGCAAGCCAGUUAGGGCUACACAGUGUGAUUCUGUCUCAAAAAAAAAAAAAAAAAAAAAAGUUUUUUAAAGAAAAGAAAGAGCCCACCUAUCAUUUACUAAAACCUAUUGCAAAACUAUAGUAGUAAAAAUGAAAACAACUUUUUAAAACCGUUACUGCAUGACAGGAACAUGAAAAGUGGCAUGUGGAAUCCAAGGGAGGAGGCACGCGACUAUCUGAAAACACGGUGCAUGCUGGAGACAGUCCUCACGCUGCUGGGACGUGCGUAGAUGGGUUAGAGGAGGGCUUCAGAAAACAAUAAGCAAACAAAAAGUGCUAAAUUAAGCAGGUGUGGAAUCGCAGCUCUGAGGAGGGGGAGGCAGGAGGAUUUGAAAGUCAAGGCUAGUCUCAGCUACACCGCAAGUUGGGAACCACCACAACAGUGACAAGCUGUCUAAAAAAAAAGGAAAAACAAAAAUGCUUGUUUCAUCCACCUAUAGGGCAGAUUCCUCCCUACAUCUAAAACACUAAACCUUCAAAGUUAAUCAGCAUAUCUGUCACUUCAGAGAUUUGUCAUUUCCUUAGGGUGAGAAUAUUCAGAAUCUUUGGUUACUUUAAACCGGUGAUGCUGCUCUGAGCAGUGCAGAACAAAACUCUGCAACUCUAACAAUUUCCCAAGUCUCCACUGGACCAAUCCAUUCCCAGAUACGUGACAGUGAAAGCAACAUUUUUAUGACCUAGCGCUAUGAAUGUUUCAAAGUCUAAGAGCAGAAAAUGUAAGAACAAAUAAUGAAGGGAUAAAUGUACACAAAAAGUAAUUUCUGUAUAUUAAGAGGUCAUGGACCAAAUUAGAAUUCACGUGAGAGUCAGUGAUAUCUACAAUUGUGGUAUGUGUGUGAAUGUGUGUGUGUGAUUAUGUAUACACACACACACAUACUUCAAAGAAUUGUUACAAAUCACCAAGCAAAUUACAUGUGACCCAAAGGUUAUAUUCUAGGAUUUCAAUGAGGUCAAACACAAAAAGUUAAAAGAAGAGAUGUCAAUGAACGUAAAUCAAAGGCAAGGGGUGGAAGGGCGAAAAGAGGUCACAGGGAUGAUGAUGGAGAUGGGGAUGAGAAUCAAGAAAGAGAAAUUAGGCUUGAAAGGUCAUGAUGACACCUAACGCACUGGAUGCUAAUUGACUACAUGGAUACACGUCCAAACUGGGUCUAUAAACCCUGGAUGCUGAAGCAUUAAGAUACUGACUUCCAGGCCAGCCUGUGCUACAUAUAUAAACUCUGUAUCAAAAAAAAAUAAUAAUCAAAAGUAAGCUGGGUGCUGUGGCACUCGCCUGUCAUCCCAGGACUUGGGUAGGCAGAGGCAUGCGGAUUCUGUGAAUUCACGGCCAGCCUGCUCUACAAAGGGAGUCUGGGACAGCCAGGGCUACAAAAAGAAACCCUGUCUCAAAAAGAAAGAAAGAAAGGAAGGAAGGAAGGAAAGAAAGAAAGAAAAAAGAAAGAAAGAAAGAAAGAAAGGAAAAUUGAAAUUAGCAACCCCACAAGUGGCUCACAGCUAUAACAGCAGCAGAAAUCACAAGGUACCAUGCUUACCAUUCA